UACGUAGGGCGCAAGCGUUGUCCGGAAUUAUUGGGCGUAAAGAGCUCGUAGGCGGCUUGUCACGUCGAUUGUGAAAGCCCGAGGCUUAACCUCGGGUCUGCAGUCGAUACGGGCUAGCUAGAGUGUGGUAGGGGAGAUCGGAAUUCCUGGUGUAGCGGUGAAAUGCGCAGAUAUCAGGAGGAACACCAAUGGCGAAGGCAGCUCGCUGGGACGGUACUGACGCUGAGACGCGAAAGCGUGGGGAGCAAACAGG
rnacentral:rRNA from 1 species